GCAUCAGUGGUUUGGUGCUAGAAUUUUUGCCUUCCAUGCGGGAGACCCAGAUUCAAUUCCCGGCUAAUGCA
rnacentral:tRNA from 1 species